AAAGUGUUUGUUCAACAGUUUUCUCUGCUUUCGUCUUUGAGGUACGAAGGCAUUUACGAUUGAGUAAUAUGAAUUGCUCCCACUCCAGCUUUUCUGAAACGUUCGAAUGGACCCUAAUUUACAGACAACAGCAAGAUAAAAGUCAUGGUCUAAUGAUACGGCUGUGCCCUUUAUCCAGCUGGAUGGGGUCUGAGCUACUGGCUCUGUCUUUUGUAAUGCUUAAUUAGUUACUAAAUAGGUUAACUUCCUUACUGCAUUCUUACAGGAUUCUAAGCUCGCAGGCUUCUGGAACCUUGGAACACUGGGGAGACUUAAUUAUAACAGAAUUUUUCCAUAUACCAGACUAAUGCAGGAAUAGAGUAUGGGUAAAUGAGAACACCAAAGCUCCUGGAGGUUGCUUUGGUCCUGGCAUUUUAUUGCAGUCACCGAAAAGUAACUGAUAAUCAGUAGCCCAGAGAUUGAGAAGGGAGACUUGUAGGUGAAGACGAGGAAUCGUGAGAGAUAAAGGAAUGGGUGUGGGUUGAAAACCCAGGGCCCCAAAACUCCACGUGAAGUGACACCCACAUAUCCAUAUGUCAUCUUGUAUCUAUGCAAGUGUUAAGUCAGAGAAGAAACAAGGAGACAGCGGCUACCCCUGAAAGAGCUGCUCUCAGCCUGCUGUCCUCUCUCUCUGGCCAGAGUGUUACCUGUCACUGCUGUUUGCUGCAGGUGACUGUGGUGGAAGUGACCCUGGGAGGCCACCGUGUGUUUGGUGUUUUUACAGCACUGCCUCUUGGGCCCUUGCAGCCCACUCCUGCAUCCGGCUGCACUGAAGGCAACAAACAUCUCAGCAGGGCCAGCGGAAUGCAGCGUGGCCCAGAACUAGUGGGCCUUCCGCAGUCUUCGCACACAGUACCGAUAUUAAUAGAACGCUGGGGAUGAGGAAGGCCAGAAGACCUGCCUUCAUUCUCCUAGGAUCCCCGAGUAGAAGAUGAUGGUCCUGUCAAACAGGGCAGGUGCCUUGAGAGAAGGAACAGAAUGGGGACUGAAGAGAGAGGAAGAACAAAAUUACGGGGCUUCCCACACCUGCUCUAGCUCCCAAAUAUAGACACAAGUAUAGGCCUUGUGCUUAUUAAAAAAAGCUGGCCAGAUACUUAUCUAUUCUAACCCUUUUUGAGCCCAUCUGUGGCCUACUACCCAGCCACAUGCCCUGUUACUUGCCAACUCAGUCUUGCACUGGCUGCUCCUGCCCCAUCGCCGUCCUCAUAGUGCCUGCCCACCACCAUGCGAACUGCUCAUGGAGAAUAAUCACAGCCAAUCUCCCAGUGCAGCCCCCCUCUCUCUGCUCCCCACCAGACACCCUCUCUGGGAUCAGAAAUCUUGCUUCCUCCUCUCUUGCCCAGCUAUUGGCUGAUCAGCUCUUUAUUAAGCAGUCAGAGGCAAUAAAAAACAACUUUACACAACACUGAGACAGGAGAUGCUUGGCAAUGCCAUUGUCUGGACUGCAGCCGGAUCUCUGGGCGUGACCUUUUGGACUACAUCCUUGGCACAGACGCAAAGCUUGUUAAAGCUAAUACCUUGUUUAAUGGAACCUUGAAGAUCAAAGGCAGAAGAUCAGGGCAAGCAAGUCUCUUCCAAGACCCUGAAAGUCAUUUUCCUCCUGCACAGUUUUGACGUUCCGCCUCCCCGUUUGUUCUGAGCUGUAAUAGAAUCCUCUUGCUCUAAUUGCAGUCCAACGGAGACAGACAAUGCGUGUGCUUAUUUAUUAAACGCUA
rnacentral:lncRNA from 1 species